UGGCCCCUUGGUCAAGCGGUUAAGACACCGCCCUUUCACGGCGGUAACACGGGUUCGAAUCCCGUAGGGGUCAUCC
rnacentral:tRNA from 1 species